UGAGUAACGCGUGAGGAACCUGCCUUUCGGAGGGGGACAACAGUUGGAAACGACUGCUAAUACCGCAUGACGUAUCGGGAUCGCAUGGUCUUGAUACCAAAGAUUUUAUCGCCGAAAGAUGGCCUCGCGUCUGAUUAGCUAGUUGGUGGGGCAACGGCCUACCAAGGCGACGAUCAGUAGCCGGACUGAGAGGUUGGCCGGCCACAUUGGGACUGAGAUACGGCCCAGACUCCUACGGAAGGCAGCAG
rnacentral:rRNA from 1 species